AAUACGGAUUCCGUAGGUGACCUGCGGAAGGACAU
rnacentral:rRNA from 1 species